rnacentral:rRNA from 1 species
CGAGCGAGAUCCCUGCCACUAGUUGCUAUCAUUAUUCUCAGGAAUAGUGGGGCGAAUUUAGUGGGACUGCCGUUGUUAAAACGGAGGAAGGAAGGGGCUACGGCAGGUCAGUAUGCCCCGAAACUCUGGGGCCACACGCGGGCUGCAAUGGUAGCGACAAUGAGUUCCAAACUCGAAAGAGAGCGGCAAUCCCUAAACGCUACCACAGUUAUGACUGAGGGCUGCAACUCGCCCUCACGAAUAUGGAAUCCCUAGUAACCGCGUGUCAUUACCGCGCGGUGAAUACGUCCCUGCUCCUUGCACACACCGCCCGUCGUUUCAUCGAAGUUUGCUUUUAGCGAGGUGAUGUUUAAUUGGCAUUAUCGAACUUGAGGUAAGCAACGAGGGAAAAGUCGUAACAAGGUA